UACAUGAAAUUCCAGUAUUCCAUUUAGCUUUAAGUUUCUAAUUAACACACAUGAAAUUAACUAAUCUCCUCUAUAGUAUUACCUUCAAACUGAGAGAACAGAGGACAAACUAAUCAACUUUUGAAACAUUGAGAAGACAGCAAUCAGUGUUCUAAUAUAUUUUCUUGUACCAAUAUAGUAUUAUGCUUUGAGAUUCUAUGUCAAAGUAAGAAGAUAGCAAUACAUAUUUCUGUUGAUGGAUAGGGAAGAGACAAGAAAGAAUAAGUUCAAAAGGGAAUCUGUUGUGUUAUGGAUACAUCAACACAGCAAACCUCAGUUGACUGGAGAGGAAGACCUUGCAAGCCAAACAAACAUGGUUUGCAGAAAGUGGAAAAUUAUGGGUUCAGAUAACAGCUUAUGGUGUGAUCUGUUUAUAGAAAGAUGGGGGAUUAGAUCAAGCCACUUUUUAUGCUCCUUCAGAUUCUAAGACAUGGAAACAUAAUUUUUAUGGGUUCAGGUUCAAGAUCGUUGUGAUCGCAAUGGAUUGGGAUUGAAGAUUAUAAGGGAAGGAGAUGACUACUACCUUAUACACCAAGGUGAAAUUCAAAGACAAAUAGGUUCAAGAAUAAUGAAAAUG